GGAGAGGUACCCAAGUGGUCACACGGGCACCGUUUCGAAAACGGUUGGGGUCUGAAAAGAUCCUCGUGGGUUCGAAUCCCACCCUCUCCG
rnacentral:tRNA from 1 species